GACGAACGCUGGCGGCGUGCUUAACACAUGCAAGUCGAACGGAAAGGCCCUGCUUGCAGGGUACUCGAUUGGCGAACGGGUGAGUAACACGUGGGUGAUCUGCCCUGCACUUCGGGAUAAGCCUGGGAAACUGGGUCUAAUACCGGAUAGGAGCCCUUUUUAGUGUGAUGGUUGGAAAGUUUUUUCGGUGUAGGAUGAGCUCGCGGCCUAUCAGCUUGUUGGUGGGGUAAUGGCCUACCAAGGCGGCGACGGGUAGCCGGCCUGAGAGGGUGGACGGCCACAUUGGGACUGAGAUAAGGCCCAGACUCCGACGGGAGGCAGCAGUGGGGAAUAUUGCACAAUGGGCGCAAGCCUGAUGCAGCGACGCCGCGUGGGGGAUGACGGCCUUCGGGUUGUAAACUCCUUUAGCUAGGGACGAAGCUUUUUGUGACGGUACCUAGAUAAGAAGCACCGGCUAACUACGUG
rnacentral:rRNA from 1 species